rnacentral:rRNA from 1 species
CUACGGAGGGUCCAAGUGUUAUCCGGAUUCAUUGGGUUUAAAGGGUCCGCAGGCGGGAAAAUAAGUCAGUGGUGAAAGCCUACAGCUCAACUGUAGAACUGCCAUUGAAACUGUUUUUCUUGAGUAUAGAUGAAGUGGGCAGAAUACAUCAUGUAGCGGUGAAAUGCAUAGAUAUGAUAUAGAACACCGAUUGCGAAGGCAGCUCACUAAACUAUUACUGACGCUCAGGGACGAAAGCGUGGGGAGCGAACAGGAUUAGAAACCCGAGUAGUCC